CCUACGGGUGGCAGCAGUGGGGGAUAUUGCACAAUGGGGGGAACCCUGAUGCAGCGACGCCGCGUGGGUGAAGGAGCGUUUCGGCGCGUAAAGCCCUAUCGGCAGGGAAGAAGAUGACGGUACCUGACCAAGAAGCCCCGGCUAACUACGUGCCAGCAGCCGCGGGAAUACGUAGGGGGCAAGCGUUAUCAGGAUUUACUGGGUGGAAAGGGGGCGCGGACGGGAAUGCAAGCCAGGAGUGAAAGCCCGGGGCCUAACCCCGGGACUGCUCUUGGAACUGGAUGGCUGGAGUGCAUGAGGGGCAGGCGGAAUGCCUAGUGUAGCGGUGAAAUGCGUAGAUAUCAGGAGGAACACCGGUGGCGAAGGCGGCCUGCUGGACUGUGACUGACGUUGAGGCCCGAAGGCGUGGGGAGCAAACAGGAUUAGAUACCCCAGUAGUC
rnacentral:rRNA from 1 species